GACGAACGCUGGCGGCGUGCCUAAUACAUGCAAGUUGAGCGCUGAAGGUUGGUACUUGUACCAACUGGAUGAGCAGCGAACGGGUGAGUAACGCGUGGGGAAUCUGCCUUUGAGCGGGGGACAACAUUUGGAAACGAAUGCUAAUACCGCAUAAAAACUUUAAACACAAGUUUUAAGUUUGAAAGAUGCAAUUGCAUCACUCAAAGAUGAUCCCGCGUUGUAUUAGCUAGUUGGUGAGGUAAAGGCUCACCAAGGCGAUGAUACAUAGCCGACCUGAGAGGAUGAUCGGCAACAUUGGGAAUGAGACACGGCCCAAACUCCUACGGGAGGCAGCAGUAGGGAAUCUUCGGCAAUAGACGAAAGUCUGACCGAGAAACGCCGCGUGAGUGAAGAAGGUUUUCGGAUCGUAAAACUCUGUUGGUAGAGAAGAACGUUGGUGAGAGUGGAAAGCUCAUCAAGUGACGGUAACUACCCAGAAAGGGACGGCUAACUACGUG
rnacentral:rRNA from 1 species